AUAUGGUCAAGUGAAGAAGCGCAUACGGUGGAUGCCUUGGCAGUCAGAGGCGAUGAAAGACGUGGUAGCCUGCGAAAAGCUUCGGGGAGUCGGCAAACAGACUUUGAUCCGGAGAUGUCUGAAUGGGGGAACCCAGCCAUCAUAAGAUGGUUACCUUACACUGAAUACAUAGGUGUAUGGAGCGAACCAGGGGAACUGAAACAUCUAAGUACCCUGAGGAAAAGAAAUCAACCGAGAUUCCCUUAGUAGUGGCGAGCGAACGGGGACUAGCCCUUAAGUGGCUUUGAGAUUAGCGGAACGCUCUGGAAAGUGCGGCCAUAGUGGGUGAUAGCCCUGUACGCGAAAAUCUCUUAGUCAUGAAAUCGAGUAGGACGGAGCACGAGAAACUUUGUCUGAAUAUGGGGGGACCAUCCUCCAAGGCUAAAUACUACUGACUGACCGAUAGUGAACUAGUACCGUGAGGGAAAGGCGAAAAGAACCCCGGAGAGGGGAGUGAAAUAGAUCCUGAAACCGUAUGCGUACAAGCAGUGGGAGCCCACUUUGUUGGGUGACUGCGUACCUUUUGUAUAAUGGGUCAGCGACUUAUUUUCAGUGGCGAGCUUAACCGAAUAGGGGAGGCGUAGCGAAAGCGAGUCUUAAUAGGGCGUCUAGUCGCUGGGAAUAGACCCGAAACCGGGCGAUCUAUCCAUGGGCAGGUUGAAGGUUGGGUAACACUAACUGGAGGACCGAACCGACUACCGUUGAAAAGUUAGCGGAUGACCUGUGGAUCGGAGUGAAAGGCUAAUCAAGCUCGGAGAUAGCUGGUUCUCCUCGAAAGCUAUUUAGGUAGCGCCUCAUGUAUCACUGUAGGGGGUAGAGCACUGUUUCGGCUAGGGGGUCAUCCCGACUUACCAAACCGAUGCAAACUCCGAAUACCUACAAGUGCCGAGCAUGGGAGACACACGGCGGGUGCUAACGUCCGUCGUGAAAAGGGAAACAACCCAGACCGUCAGCUAAGGUCCCAAAGUUAUGGUUAAGUGGGAAACGAUGUGGGAAGGCUUAGACAGCUAGGAGGUUGGCUUAGAAGCAGCCACCCUUUAAAGAAAGCGUAAUAGCUCACUAGUCGAGUCGGCCUGCGCGGAAGAUGUAACGGGGCUCAAACCAUACACCGAAGCUACGGGUAUCACGUAAGUGAUGCGGUAGAGGAGCGUUCUGUAAGCCUGUGAAGGUGAGUUGAGAAGCUUGCUGGAGGUAUCAGAAGUGCGAAUGCUGACAUGAGUAACGACAAUGGGUGUGAAAAACACCCACGCCGAAAGACCAAGGUUUCCUGCGCAACGUUAAUCGACGCAGGGUUAGUCGGUCCCUAAGGCGAGGCUGAAAAGCGUAGUCGAUGGAAAACAGGUUAAUAUUCCUGUACUUCUGGUUAUUGCGAUGGAGGGACGGAGAAGGCUAGGCCAGCUUGGCGUUGGUUGUCCAAGUUUAAGGUGGUAGGCUGAGAUCUUAGGUAAAUCCGGGAUCUUAAGGCCGAGAGCUGAUGACGAGUCGUCUUUUAGACGACGAAGUGGUUGAUGCCAUGCUUCCAAGAAAAGCUUCUAAGCUUCAGGUAACCAGGAACCGUACCCCAAACCGACACAGGUGGUUGGGUAGAGAAUACCAAGGCGCUUGAGAGAACUCGGGUGAAGGAACUAGGCAAAAUGGCACCGUAACUUCGGGAGAAGGUGCGCCGGUGAGGGUGAAGGACUUGCUCCGUAAGCUCAUGCCGGUCGAAGAUACCAGGCCGCUGCGACUGUUUAUUAAAAACACAGCACUCUGCAAACACGAAAGUGGACGUAUAGGGUGUGACGCCUGCCCGGUGCCGGAAGGUUAAUUGAUGGGGUUAGCUAACGCGAAGCUCUUGAUCGAAGCCCCGGUAAACGGCGGCCGUAACUAUAACGGUCCUAAGGUAGCGAAAUUCCUUGUCGGGUAAGUUCCGACCUGCACGAAUGGCGUAACGAUGGCGGCGCUGUCUCCACCCGAGACUCAGUGAAAUUGAAAUCGCUGUGAAGAUGCAGUGUAUCCGCGGCUAGACGGAAAGACCCCGUGAACCUUUACUAUAGCUUUGCACUGGACUUUGAAUUUGCUUGUGUAGGAUAGGUGGGAGGCUUUGAAGCGUGGACGCCAGUUCGCGUGGAGCCAACCUUGAAAUACCACCCUGGCAACUUUGAGGUUCUAACUCAGGUCCGUUAUCCGGAUCGAGGACAGUGUAUGGUGGGUAGUUUGACUGGGGCGGUCUCCUCCUAAAGAGUAACGGAGGAGUACGAAGGUGCGCUCAGACCGGUCGGAAAUCGGUCGUAGAGUAUAAAGGCAAAAGCGCGCUUGACUGCGAGACAGACACGUCGAGCAGGUACGAAAGUAGGUCUUAGUGAUCCGGUGGUUCUGUAUGGAAGGGCCAUCGCUCAACGGAUAAAAGGUACUCCGGGGAUAACAGGCUGAUACCGCCCAAGAGUUCAUAUCGACGGCGGUGUUUGGCACCUCGAUGUCGGCUCAUCACAUCCUGGGGCUGAAGCCGGUCCCAAGGGUAUGGCUGUUCGCCAUUUAAAGUGGUACGCGAGCUGGGUUUAGAACGUCGUGAGACAGUUCGGUCCCUAUCUGCCGUGGACGUUUGAGAUUUGAGAGGGGCUGCUCCUAGUACGAGAGGACCGGAGUGGACGAACCUCUGGUGUUCCGGUUGUCACGCCAGUGGCAUUGCCGGGUAGCUAUGUUCGGAAUAGAUAACCGCUGAAAGCAUCUAAGCGGGAAACUAGCCUCAAGAUGAGAUCUCACUGGAACCUUGAGUUCCCUGAAGGGCCGUCGAAGACUACGACGUUGAUAGGUUGGGUGUGUAAGCGCUGUGAGGCGUUGAGCUAACCAAUACUAAUUGCCCGUGAGGCUUGACCAU
rnacentral:rRNA from 1 species